AUGGCGGGACCGGGGGCUGGAGGGGCGGCGGAGCCCGGGGAGGGAUGGACGGAGGAGCCCGGGGAUGGAUGGACGGCGGAGCCGUGGGGUAGAUGGACGGCGGAGCGGCGGCGGCUGUGGGUGCCGGGCGGACUCUGGCUGGCGGCCGUGCUGCCCCUGCUGCUGGUGCCGCUGCCCUGCGCAGGGCAGAGCAGCCUGCCGAGCCCAGAGAACGUGCAGGUGCACGUGGUGAACACCAACUUCACCCUGAGCUGGGACUACAGGGGCAGUGAGCCUGGGGUGACAUUCUCUGCCCAGUUCCAGUGGCCGGAGCUGGAGCCCACGGGCUGGCAGGAGCUGCCAGGGUGCCAGGCUGUGGCUGGCACGAGCUGUGACUUCUCCUCGGCCAUCUCAGAGUACUACGAUGCCCACUACGUGCGUGUGAGGGCCCAGGCUGGGCCGCUGGUGUCCCCAUGGUCCCAGGUCCUGGAGAUGGUGCCAGAACAAGUCGCUCAGAUUGGUCCACCAGGACUGGAAUUGCAGUCCACAAAUGGAGUAGUAAAAGUUAUGGUUUCUCCUCCAGAAGCAAAUCAGAGGAAAAAAAUGUGGAUCAAUGACCUGACUUUUAAAUAUAACCUGGUCUUCUGGGAAAACUCCUCACAUGCUCAGCCCCAGAACAAAAGGAUUUUCCCUGUGGACACCAUUGACGACCUUGCCCCGGACAGCACCUAUUGCUUCAAAGUCCAAGCAAAUCUCCCCAGCGAGGGCAAGCAAGGCCUGUUCAGCCCCCACAGCUGUGUGAAAACCACCCAGAAAGUGAACGACCUCCUGUGUGCCACCAACCUGAGUGUCCUGGCUCUGAACAUGGAAUUCCACCUGCUCUGGAGCAGCCAGCAAAGUCAGGAUGUGACCUACAACGUGCAGUACCUGCUUGGCUACUUGAAGGAUCUCAAUGAUGAUUACUCAGACAAGUGGCUCAGUGUCCCUGGGUGUGAGAGCAUCACCAGCUCCUGGUGCAACUUCUCCUCCAUCAUCACCGGCACUGGCUUUUACCACCUGCGGGUGCAGGCCAGGGAGGGACACAACAAAUCCUGCUUCUCCAGGGAAGUCAAGGUGGAUCCUCUGAGAACAAAUGGAAUUGGCCCUCCCGGUGUAAGGCUGGACCUCAGUGACACUUUGCUCCACAUCCUUAUUUCUCCUCCAGGAGGAGAUAAGGAUGGAUUCAUGAGGGACCAUUAUGACUUGUCCUACAGGAUCCUCUACUGGAAGAAUUCCUCAGAUACAAAGGAGGAGGUGAAGCAGAAGGAGGUGAGGCAGACCAUCGCCACGGUGCCUGACGUGUCCCCCUCGUCGCUGUACUGCGUGCAGGUGCAGGCCUUCUCUGAGCCCUACAACAAGAGCAGUGCCUACAGCCAGCAGCAAUGCAUCCUCACCCCUGCAGGUACACCUUUAGCUCUGAUCAUUGCUGGGAUUUUCCUGGGCGCCCUGCUGGUUGUCCUGCUGGUGGCUGCUCCUCUUGUUUUUGUGUUCUACCAAGCCUACAACAAAAUCAAAUACGUGUUCUUCCCCUCCUGCCAGCCCCCCCUGAACAUCGAGGGGUUUGGAGCCCAGCCCUUGAGCAGCCCCUGCCUGGCAGCUGCAGCAGAGGAGGCCGUGGAGCACUGCUGUGUGAUCGAGGCCAUGGUCACAGAGGAGGGCACUCACAUCGUGUUCUCAGGCCACAAACAUUCCUCCCACAGCAGUCGCGACUCGGGCAACUAUUCCAACGACGACAACACUGCUGGGAGCAAGGGAUCCAGAGAAACACUGGAGGAGGAAAUCAUGUAACUUUGGGAAAUCACAACUCCUGUAUGGGAUUGUCAACUCACAGACACUUCAGACCUCUUUGUGAUGGAAGGCCCAGCCUGAGGGGACACUGUGACCUCUGGGGUGCUGAGGGGACACUGUGACCUUUGGGAUCCUAUGGGGACACUGUGACCUUUGGGAUCCUAUGGGGACACUGUGACCUUUGGGAUCCUCAGGGGGACACUGUGACCUCUGGGGUGCUGAGGGGACACUGUGACCUUUGGGAUCCUAUGGGGACACUGUGACCUUUGGGAUCCUCAGGGGGACACUGUGACCUCUGGGGUGCUGAGGGGACACUGUGACCUUUGGGAUCCUAUGGGGACACUGUGACCUUUGGGAUCCCAAGGGGGACACUGUGACCUUUGGGGUUGCUGGGUUUGGGUUCCCAGGGCUGCCCUUGCUGGGGGAGCUCCUCAGGCCUGGCUGGGAAUGUCCCCGGUGUCCCCACCCCAGCCAGGGCUGUCCCCCUGCACCAGGAGCAGCUCUGGGCUCUUCUCUACUUGAAGCUGUGAGCUGGGCACCCCUGCCUGCUCCAGCAGAGUUCUGUGUGGGGUCACCCCCACAGCGUUUACACAGCCAGAGGAACCCACGCUGGCCACAAUCCUGUGGCAUUGCCACUGCCAGCCCCUGCUUGGCCACAGGUCCAGAGCUACAGGUGCCAAGGGAGCAAGAGGAGCAGCAGUGAGGAGCCUGGGAUUCCUCAUGGGGUUCCUCACAGG